CAACCUCAACUCAUAUGGGACUACCCCCUGAAUUUAAGCAUAUUAAUUAGGGGAGGAAAAGAAACUAACAAGGAUUUUCUUAGUAGCGGCGAGCGAAAAGAAAACAGUUCAGCACUAAGUCACUUUGUCUAUAUGGCAAAUGUGAGAUGCAGUGUAUGGAGCGUCAAUAUUCUAGUAUGAGAAAUUAAUGAUUUAAGUCCUUCUUAAAUGAGGCCAUUUACCCAUAGAGGGUGCCAGGCCCGUAUAACGUUAAUGAUUACUAGAUGAUGUUUCCAAAGAGUCGUGUUGCUUGAUAGUGCAGCACUAAGUGGGUGGUAAACUCCAUCUAAAACUAAAUAUAACCAUGAGACCGAUAGUAAACAAGUACCGUGAGGGAAAGUUGAAAAGAACUCUGAAUAGAGAGUUAAACAGUACGUGAAACUGCUUAGAGGUUAAGCCCGAUGAACCUGAAUAUCCGUUAUGGAAAAUUCAUCAUUAAAAUUGUAAUAUUUAAAUAAUAUUAUUAAGAAUAAUGUGCAUUUUUCCAUAUAAGGACAUUGUAAUCUAUUAGCAUAUCCCAAAUUUAUCAUAAAAUAUAACUUAUAGUUUAUUCCAAUUAAAUUGCUUGCAUUUUAACACAGAAUAAAUGUUAUUAAUUUGAUAAAGUGCUGAUAGAUUUAUAUUAUUACAGAGCGUUAAUUUUUCGGAAUUAUAUAAUGGCAUAAUUAUCAUUGAUUUUUGUGUUUAUUAUAUGCUCUUGUAUGAUUAACAAUGCGAAAGAUUCAGGAUACCUUCGGGACCCGUCUUGAAACACGGACCAAGGAGUCUAACAUAUGUGCAAGUUAUUGGGAUGUAAACCUAAUAGCGUAAUUAACUUGACUAAUAAUGGGAUUAGUUUUUUAGCUAUUUAUAGCUAAUUAACACAAUCCCGGGGCGUUCUAUAUAGUUAUGUAUAAUGUAUAUUUAUAUUAUUUAUGCCUCUAACUGGAACGUACCUUGAGCAUAUAUGCUGUGACCCGAAAGAUGGUGAACUAUACUUGAUCAGGUUGAAGUCAGGGGAAACCCUGAUGGAAGACCGAAACAGUUCUGACGUGCAAAUCGAUUGUCAGAAUUGAGUAUAGGGGCGAAAGACCAAUCGAACCAUCUAGUAGCUGGUUCCUUCCGAAGUUUCCCUCAGGAUAGCUGGUGCAUUUUAAUAUUAUAUAAAAUAAUCUUAUCUGGUAAAGCGAAUGAUUAGAGGCCUUAGGGUCGAAACGAUCUUAACCUAUUCUCAAACUUUAAAUGGGUAAGAACCUUAACUUUCUUGAUAUGAAGUUCAAGGUUAUGAUAUAAUGUGCCCAGUGGGCCACUUUUGGUAAGCAGAACUGGCGCUGUGGGAUGAACCAAACGUAAUGUUACGGUGCCCAAAUUAACAACUCAUGCAGAUACCAUGAAAGGCGUUGGUUGCUUAAAACAGCAGGACGGUGAUCAUGGAAGUCGAAAUCCGCUAAGGAGUGUGUAACAACUCACCUGCCGAAGCAACUAGCCCUUAAAAUGGAUGGCGCUUAAGUUGUAUACCUAUACAUUACCGCUAAAGUAGAUGAUUUAUAUUACUUGUGAUAUAAAUUUUGAAACUUUAGUGAGUAGGAAGGUACAAUGGUAUGCGUAGAAGUGUUUGGCGUAAGCCUGCAUGGAGCUGCCAUUGGUACAGAUCUUGGUGGUAGUAGCAAAUAAUCGAAUGAGACCUUGGAGGACUGAAGUGGAGAAGGGUUUCGUGUGAACAGUGGUUGAUCACGAGUUAGUCGGUCCUAAGUUCAAGGCGAAAGCCGAAAAUUUUCAAGUAAAACAAAAAUGCCUAACUAUAUAAACAAAGCGAAUAUAAUACACUUGAAUAAUUUUGAACGAAAGGGAAUACGGUUCCAAUUCCGUAACCUGUUGAGUAUCCGUUUGUUAUUAAAUAUGGGCCUCGUGCUCAUCCUGGCAACAGGAACGACCAUAAAGAAGCCGUCGAGAGAUAUCGGAAGAGUUUUCUUUUCUGUUUUAUAGCCGUACUACCAUGGAAGUCUUUCGCAGAGAGAUAUGGUAGAUGGGCUAGAAGAGCAUGACAUAUACUGUUGUGUCGAUAUUUUCUCCUCGGACCUUGAAAAUUUAUGGUGGGGACACGCAAACUUCUCAACAGGCCGUACCAAUAUCCGCAGCUGGUCUCCAAGGUGAAGAGUCUCUAGUCGAUAGAAUAAUGUAGGUAAGGGAAGUCGGCAAAUUAGAUCCGUAACUUCGGGAUAAGGAUUGGCUCUGAAGAUUGAGAUAGUCGGGCUUGAUUGGGAAACAAUAACAUGGUUUAUGUGCUCGUUCUGGGUAAAUAGAGUUUCUAGCAUUUAUGUUAGUUACUUGUUCCCCGGAUAGUUUAGUUACGUAGCCAAUUGUGGAACUUUCUUGCUAAAAUUUUUAAGAAUACUAUUUGGGUUAAACCAAUUAGUUCUUAUCAAUUAUAACGAUUAUCAAUUAACAAUCAAUUCAGAACUGGCACGGACUUGGGGAAUCC